rnacentral:rRNA from 1 species
GAUCCUGGCUUAGGAUGAACGCUAGCUACAGGCUUAACACAUGCAAGUCGAGGGGCAGCAUUGGAGUAGCAAUACUCAGAUGGCGACCGGCGCACGGGUGAGUAACACGUAUCCAACCUGCCGCUUACUCGGGGAUAGCCUUUCGAAAGAAAGAUUAAUACCCGAUGGUAUAAAGAGUUCGCAUGUUCUCUUUAUUAAAGAAUUUCGGUAAGCGAUGGGGAUGCGUUCCAUUAGAUAGUUGGCGGGGUAACGGCCCACCAAGUCUACGAUGGAUAGGGGUUCUGAGAGGAAGGUCCCCCACAUUGGAACUGAGACACGGUCCAAACUCCUACGGGAGGCAGCAGUGAGGAAUAUUGGUCAAUGGACGAGAGUCUGAACCAGCCAAAAGUAGCGUGAAGGAUGACUGCCCUAUGGGUUGUAAACUUCUUUUAUAAGGGAAUAAAGUGAGGGACGUGUCCCUUUUUGUAUGUACCUUAUGAAUAAGGAUCGGCUAACUCCGUGCCAGCCGCGGC